rnacentral:rRNA from 1 species
GAUGAACGCUAGCUACAUGCUUAACACAUGCAAGUCGAGGGGAAACGGCAUUACUUGCUUGCACUCUUUGGACGCCGACCGGUGCACGGGAGAUUAACGCGUAUCCAACCUUCCCAUGACUAAGCUAUAACCUGCCGAAAGGUAGACUAAUACCUUAUGGUCUUCACUGACGGCAUCAGAUGUGAAGUAAAGAUUUAUCGGUGAAGGAUGGGGCUGCGUCUGAUUAGCUGGUUGGCGGGGUAACGGCCCACCAAGGCGACGACGGGUAGGGGGUCUGAGAGGGGGAUCGGCCACAGGGGGACUGAGAUACGGCCCAGACUCCUACGGGAGGCAGCAGUGGGGAAUAGUGCACAAUGGGCGAAAGCCUGAUGCAGCGACGCCGCGUGAGGGAUGACGGCCUUCGGGUUGUAAACCUCUUUCAGUAGGGACGAAGCGCAAGUGACGGUACCUGCAGAAGAAGCACCGGCUAACUACGUG